GACGAACGCUGGCGGCGUGCCUAAUACAUGCAAGUUGAGCGCUGAAGGUUGGUACUUGUCCCGACUGGAUGAGCAGCGAACGGGUGAGUAACGCGUGGGGAAUCUGCCUUUGAGCGGGGGACAACAUUUGGAAACGAAUGCUAAUACCGCAUAAAAACUUUAAACACAAGUUUUAAGUUUGAAAGAUGCAAUUGCAUCACUCAAAGAUGAUCCCGCGUUGUAUUAGCUAGUUGGUGAGGUAAAGGCUCACCAAGGCGAUGAUACAUAGCCGACCUGAGAGGGUGAACGGCCACAUUGGGACUGAGACACGGCCCAAACUCCUACGGGAGGCAGCAGGAGGGAAUCUUCGGAAAUGGACGGCAGUCUGACCGAGCAACGCCGCGUGAGUGAAGAAGGGUUUCGGAUCGUAAAACUCUGUUGGUAGAGAAGAAAGUUGGUGAGAGUGGAAAGCUCAUCAAGUGACGGUAACUAAACAGAAAGGGACGGCUAACUACGUG
rnacentral:rRNA from 1 species